UACAUGGGGUGCAAACGUUGCUCGGAAUCAUUGGGCGUAAAGCGCGCGUAGGCGGUUACUUAAGUCGGAUGUGAAAGCCCUCGUCUUAACCGAGGAAGUGCAUCCGAAACUGCCUUGCUAGAGUAUGGGAGAGGGAAGUGGAAUUUCCGUGUAGCGGUGAAAUGCGUAGAUAUCUGGAGGAACACCGGUGGCGAAGGCGGCAUCCUGGACCGGCAUUGACGCUGAGGAGCGAAAGCCAGGGGAGCAAACGGG
rnacentral:rRNA from 1 species